ACAUAAAUUGAUCUCUCCUUUUUCUGUAAAAAGGGGACAACUAGUAUAAUUUCAUUCCCAAGUGAUCCUUCUUAAUUUUUAGAU
rnacentral:tRNA from 1 species